AUUCCUAUGAAAUAUUUAGGGAAAAAACGUGAAUACCGUUAAUAUGUUUUACUUAGUCCGUGUCUGAGUAGACAGCAUUUAGUUGUUUGAAAUGUCUAAUUUUAUCAAAUGUGUGAUUUUUCUUCUAAUGGCGAUUUCUUUUCAAAUUCUAGGCCGUCGACAACGAGGUAUGUCCGUUGCCAUUUUUUCCAAUUCACACAGUUGUUACAUAUACACAUGUACAAGUAAUGCUCUCUUGUGUCCAGACUGAAGCCUCUGUACUUUGGGGGAAGAUUUGUGUUCAAUGCGUUGUUGUAAUUUUAUUGUUAUAGUGCUUUGUACGGCUGUUCAUACUGAUUACAGUUUAUUCCAAUGAAAUAUUUGGGAAAAACGUAAAUACCAUUAAUAUGUUUCACCUAGUCCUUGUCUGAAUAGUCAGUAUUUAGUUGUUUGAAAUGUCUAAUUUUAUCAAAUGUGUGAUUUUUCUUCUAAUUGCAAAUUUCAUUUUAAAUUUCAACCGCUCAUGUACUAGUGUUACCUGAACCAGAAUGUGGAUUGAUUGCUGUGUUAGUGCUAGCGGGCCUCCUGGAGUUUGGCUGUAUAACAUUUCUGGGAAUUCUGAUAAAGCGAGGACCUAAAGGAUCAUGUGGGAAGGGAGUAAUAGCGAUACUUGGUACUACAGCACUCGUCACCGUGGUCGUUAUCGUCCUGGUCGUAUUAGACCUGAAUGACAUUUGUUUUGAAAUCCUAUCUCUCCAAAGAAAUUCGCAAAUUAGCAAUUGCACUGAAGAAUCAGACUUAGCUUCAGCUUCAGGCAUUUCAGGACUGGGGAUUUCCGGCAGCGUCUUGUUUGCACUAGCUGGAGUUGCGUUUAUUGUUGCAUUGAUUAUUUAUUGCAAGGUAGGUAAA